AUUGGCCAGCAGUUGUUCCUCGUUCAGGACACCAUUUGAAUAGUCAAGGAACAGAUGGUUUUGUUUGUUCUUCACGCUUGCUGAACUUACCUAACCUGCUGUCGCUCAUUCAGGAUGCAGGAUGCGCCUCUCCGCUUGUGUUCUAAGUAAAUACUGUUGAGGGCGAACGUGCCACUAACAUGUGGAGAGGCUCCUGUGUGAGGUUGUUCUGACGCAGAUGUUUAGAGAUCAAUAUUGAAAUAACGAUGCAAGGCAUAAAUCAUAUUUAUUGGCAUCGUACGUUUUUUACACAUACUGUAUAUGUACAGUUUGCUAGUCAAAUGAAUAUUGAACCACAGCAAUAUUCAAAAAGUCACUCAUUUAAAGUUGUUAAUCAUUUUCUUGACGCCUCCACAGGCCGACAUGUAUCCUCUUACCGACGCUACUUCCCGGAGGUCGAUCCUUGUCAGUAGUGAGUCCGUUCAGCUCGUCACCAUUCUGACCGCCUGUCAAUAAAAUCCCGUCGGUUUGCUUUGUGCUAUGUGAUGGUACGCUGAACAUCUUUGGGGUUUGGGGCGGUUGGUUGGAUUUAAAAAGCAGCUGGAUGACUUUUGGAUUACGGGAAAUUACAGCGCGUAUGUUUCGUUUUAAAAGACUAAAAAGAUCCUCAGGAAUUCACUUGAUAAUGAAAACAAUCGUUGGUGGCAGCCCUGAUUGAAUCCGCACUGAAGCCUGCGGGGUUCUAGCCGUCUCAAAUGUCCUUCAAAAAGCUUUGGCGGCAGCUGCCGUCUGAAACACCCGCUGGCAAUAAAUAACUUUAAUUGGAUGACCUUCACAAACCACAAAUAGCGGUUUCCCAAAAGGUUGUUCUAAUGAAGCAGGUGCUUCUCUUUGGGACAACCGCUGCAGUUCAUCUUUGACAGAGCCGCACAGACGAAUCUCCGGUGAAUGUCUAGACAUUACAACAUUAUGGAAACAUCUUUCCUGUGUUGCCUAACAAACACAUGGAACGCCCGGUUUUCUGUUUACAAGCAAGGUGUAAGAUAAAAUGACUCUUCUUCCUCCAUCACGACAACUGUCAAGAAAAUGGGCAUCUUAAAUUGCAUCACAUUGUCCUCACACCGCCGUUGACUCAUGUGCGCUGGCCUUUUCUUUCCGAUGGAAGGAGUGUUCUGCACAACGGGGCGGUCAGGCUUAUCAUUUUAUUUGUAGCAAAACAAAUGCAGUCAGAUUUAGAAGCAGGAACACGGCACGUCAUCGCUAAUCUUCAGUGUGCUCACGACACGUUUGGGACGACCCCAACAGAUUAAUCUGCCCAAAGAGAUUAGUGCAAGUUCUGUCUCAGAGUUGUUCUUUGAAGUGAUGUUUGUGUGUGUGUGGGGGGGGGGGGGGUUCCUACACAUUAUAUCUGAAUAGAGGUGUAGAAAAUCUCUGUAAAUCAGCAGCCCUUUGAUCAAUCGUUACCCAGCUCACCUAAACCUAAACUAAACUACUAAAGGCAAGGGCAAAAGGUCAAAACUGCUAAAGACACCUUCAUGUACCUGUCCCAACGGCGUUAUGGGGCAAAUAAGAAACUGUGGAAGAAACAGCAACACCACAAAAAUAAAUCUAAUUGGUUGUUUGAUCUGUUAAUGAUGUUCAGAACCCCAUGCAGGGCGACGGUUCACAAAUCCAAAAAGGUUCUCAAUAAAUCGUUUAAAUGAUUUACAGAAUGUUGCUAAAAGUAACUGACAAAGAUGGUUAAUUCAAAAUUAUUUAAAUAGUUGAGUAGGAAUGUUAGAUAUGAAAUAUAUGAAUAAACGUAAUGAAUAAACCGUUGAAAUGGUCGGGUAAAGGUAAUAGAUUUACUGUUGCCAUAGUAACAACGCUCUCAAGCCAGUAGGAGACGAGGCCAACUUUUCUUUCUCAAAUAAAUUCAGUCUUAGUACUUUUCCAACAGACGAGUAGAUUAAGUAUAAAGUCUAAAGUUAAGAUUAGUAUGAGACUCAGUAUGCAACUGGCCCGGGUGUUGUUUAGACUUCCCAAUGCAAUGUGGCUCACGCAUCAAUGUAGAUGGUUUUCUGUCCACACUGAAACCCUGUAGAUGCUGUAAGUGGCCCUGGGGAGAAGGCAAGUGGAGAGCAAAAUACCCGGCCGCUGCAGGCUUAUGGCUCGUUUUAAAGUAUUCUUACGCAACACGCAGUUGAAUGACGGCUUAAGUGUCGUCAAAUGUAACUUGAAUUUUGGGCAAAUCCCAAUGACAUCAUUAAGAGUACCUGUGCACCAAUGUGCAGCUACACUACAUCUCAGUCCGGUGAACGGAGACCGGACCUUUAUCGCGUACCUUCUGGUAUAAAUCAUACAUUACAAAACAGUGUUGGGCCCAUAGUAACAUUCAUUAAGGACCUUGGCGGUAUUAAACCGGUAUUCCAAAUAUCUCUCCUCCGCCCUCUGGUUUGUAUUGUUGCCCUCCUUUAUGACGAUAAACAGUACAUAGAGAUUGAAGUGACAUGUCAAAGGUUUCGAGGUUUGCAUAUUUGUGCUGUUGUCCUCUAUCGGGGACAUGACAGUAUUUCUCAGUUAGACGUUGUACAAUAACACAAUGUUGACAAAAAUUACACCUACAACAUUUAAAAAAAAACAAAAAAACAUGUGUUUUUUUUGUUGUUGUUUUUUUCAACUCCAGUUCUGUUAGCGAGCCAAAUCCUCUUUGAAAAGUGUGUCAAUCCUCUCUCACGCACUGGGCCAACAGGCCUGACGGUCCCCAGUGAGUCCUGCUGUAAAAGGUUCCCACGUUGUGUACACAGAAUAACGUAACACAAAUGCACGAGGACCUCCUGUAUUCACUUCCAGGGGCCUGUCUGCCUGCUGGGUGCAGCGGCUGCGGUCCUAAUGGCCACGUGGGUGAAGACGCUCCUCUUUGCAGCUCGGCCACAAGGAUCUCCAGGGAGGCCAUUAAAAGGAGAACAUCAGCCCGCAGAGCUUUUUGUCCGAGCGGAAGGAGCCAGAACAGCGGGGCGUGUUCCUGACCCGACGGUUCCCUGUGACGGCUCUCGACUGAGAGUCGUGGCCAGAUGAAGGGACCUAUUAAUAAAUUCCUCCGUAAGAGGACUGAAUCUCGACCCCGGGGCGGCGGCGAUGACUAGGAUGGACUUUCACUGGCAAGGAGGAGCAUUACAAUUCAAGGCCGAUCUGACAGCGCUUCUUGCCUCGCGUCAUGGCGCCGGCGGCAGACAGUCAGGACCGACGGGGUUCGGGGGAACAAAUAAGGUGUGACGGGGAGGAGACAUCCAGCCGGCAGACACUGCGGGCGGCAGCUUUCAUACGGAUGUCGCUUCGCAGGAGGGUUUUCAGGCUCUAUCCAAGUAUAAUCCCAACCAAAAAAAGGAGGUCGAAUCAGAAUUACUGGCAGCUCAUUCAUAUUCCUACACACAGCAGGUCGAUUCUCCAGAGAUUCAUUCUGAACAAAGGCGUUUGAGACCGGUACCUUUUUUCAAUCCCCGGGUUCAACCUCCAGCAUGGAGGUCAAGGCCCUCCCGGUUUGGCCCCGACCUUUCCCGCUGCGACAUCCCUGCUCAUCUCACGGCACGUCACAUUCAAUGUAGGGGAUGUCGAUGUAGCGGCGGUCCACCUCCACCCACUGCUGCACGGCCCGGGCCACGAUCUCCUCGGAGAGCCUGUGGGCGUACUCCAGCAGCACCGGGUUGACCUUAAGGGAGCUCUCCGGCGAGCCCGCCUCUGGGUGGAGCAAGUAGGCUUUCUCGCCCCUCGCUUUGCCCUCCACCUUCUCUGUGGAGUUUGCAUUUUGGCCAGCAGAGUCGCACCUCUUGGAUUUGACACACCCCAUGCUCUGGAGGAUGUCGCAUUGAUUCACUCCAAAGGCGGGAGUGCCGCAGCGACGUGCGGUAGUCUUUGGUUCGAUUUCCAGGGAUUAGUCACGGCCCAGAAGCAGCAGAAGCUCUCCCCCCCCGGUCGACUUCUCUCUGCUCUGUUCAGCUGGCGUCAUCCACUCCCUCUCUCAUCCAUGUCCGAGCGACGACACGCCUGGGAAAUUCGGAGGGCGCUGGUGCGACGGCGGCUAGGAGGCCCAUCCCCGUGUGGGUCUGGUGCCGUUGAAACAGUCAGUCUUGCUCCCUCGGAGGCCCGUCGCUUCCUCAACUGCGGAGAGAGUUGAGGAGAGGUAAAACGGGGGAUGUAUAGUGAUU
ensembl:lncRNA